rnacentral:lncRNA from 1 species
GCAGGAAAUGUAAUGGAGGCUUUCUACUCUACAACGUCCAAUCCUGCUGGGGAGGGCAUGGAGUAUUUCAGAGUAGGAAAGAAUGAGGGAGAGGAUAGUCAGAUAAAUCAAAGUUUCAUUCUUUUCCUCCUCUUUCUUAGCUCGUCAAAUCCUACACUUUCUCUCCAGCUGGAAUUAUGGUGGUGAGUGAGGGAGUUAAAAUAAUCCUGGCUCCUCCCUAAUCAAUGGCAGUAGAGAGCCGAAAGUUGGAAGAAGCACGUAAAACAGGACGAAGAAAAAUUAGGCAAGGACAAGCUCCCUGGAGGAGGAGGGGCCUGCCCAGCGCUGGUGGAUUUCCAUCAGGACUUUCUGACCCGGUCAGCAGCUUUGUGAUCAGCAGAGAGGGAGCGAGAAACAGGAGAGAAAAACAACAGACCCUUUCUCUUCCCUCUGCCUGCCUCUAGAAGGGACGGAGCGCUUGUGCCUCUCUGGUGAGAAUAGGGAAGAGCAAGUGCCCUUGCUAAGUAGGGAGGAGAAGGGCUGGACAGAAGCAGCUUGUUGGAUCUGGGCUCUCUCUCUGGGUAUGGCAGUCCUUUGCUCUGGAUCCACAGAAGCAGGAGCAAAGAGCACGAUAUUUGCAUGUAUUACUCAAUUAAUGUUAAAAACAAACAAACAAACCCAGCUCUUUUCCCUCUGGAGCCCUCCAGAGAGCUCCUUUCCAAGUCCUUGCUGUAUCAUUUUUAAGUCUAGAAAUGAAACUGGUUGGGUUGUGCACCUGGUAGAGUGCAGAGGGUGUGGUAGAAGCCCCAGGCUCUGGGCGCGAUGGCUGACGCCUGUAAUCCCAGCACUUUGGGAAGCCAAGGCGGGCGGAUCACAAGGUCAAGAGAUCAAGACCAACCUGGCCAACAUAGUGAAACCCCAUCUCUACUAAAAAUACAAAAAUUAGCAGGGCAUGGUGGCACAUGCCUGUAGUCCCAGCUACUCGGGAGGCUGAGGCAGGAGAAUCGCUUGAACCCGGGAGGUGGAGGUUGCAGUGAGCCAAGAUCCUGCCACUGCACUCCAGCCUGAAGACGGAGCAAGACUCCGUCUCAAAAAGAAGAAGAAGAAGAAAAGAACUGGCAGAGCAGGCAGGAGAUCCAACACGCCUGUGCUCUGGAUCUUGGUUCCACUGCAGGCCUCUCAUCAGUCACCUCCUCUCGAUUUACAGCUGGGGAAGCAGGAAAAGCUGGUGUGAGGCUGACGGUAGGAAAUAAAGGGAUAGAUAAAUAAAUGAGGGAAUUUUUGAUGAUGAGUGUCCAUUUAUUUGCAGUACCUGCACUACUCUGCGGCUGGAAAGUGGCAGUUAAGGGAGGUUGGAACCUAACUCCACAUUCUGAAGGGUUCCCUAAACUCUAUGUACAGGGCCGCCACAGGAUGAAAUUUCAAGCAACUCUAAAGGCUGAAAGAGCAAUUGGAACAAUUAGGGUGGCAGAGAGCAAAAAGCCAAGGUUACAACCGUCCAAGAAAGGAAG